UACAGAGGGGGCAAGCGUUGUUCGGAAUUACUGGGCGUAAAGGGCGCGUAGGCGGCCUUCUAAGUCGAACGUGAAAUCCCCGGGCUCAACCUGGGAAUUGCGGUUGAAACUAGUCGACUAGAAUCUGGCAGAGGGGGGUGGAAUUCCACGUGUAGCAGUGAAAUGCGUAGAGAUGUGGAGGAACACCGAUGGCGAAGGCAGCCCCCUGGGCUGAGAUUGACGCUCAGGCACGAAAGCGUGGGGAGCAAACAGG
rnacentral:rRNA from 1 species